CACUAUCCUGCCCUCCCUCCUCCCCUCAGGGCCCUACUUGUGGCUGACAGCCGCCAGGCCCCACCCCUCCCUUGUCUGUGGGCUCAGGACUCAGGGCGCUUGUGAUGGCAUCCAGGACCCACCUGGGUAAUCCAGGGUAAUCUCAUCUUGAAAUCCUUAACUACAGCUGCAAAUCAGCCGCCUCAGCCGAGGAAACCACGGGAAUCUCAUUUGAAGAAGAAUCUGGCCCAAGGAGCCCCCUCCCCAUGAGCUGCUGCUUGAUGGUGUGGCUGCCAUUCCGCAUUCCCUUUUACAGAAGAGGAAACCGAGGAAGCAAAUUCACCUUCGAUGACGCAACCUUUAACCUCAGAGCUGCUUGCUGGAACAGAAGCUUUUCGAUUCUGUGAAAAGUUGGACCAGAACUUGGAGAAGCGAGGGGUGUGAUUAGCACCUGCAAACCCCAACAUCUGCUGAAUACGUACCCCCCGUGGGAAAAGCCACCGUGAGAGGAAAACAGAAGUUUAAAGUUUUGGUUGGAUUGUUCCCCACACCCCACGCCCAAAAGAUACGCUGCCGUCCUAACCCCUGGUCCCUGUGCCUGUGGCCUUAUUUGGAGACAGGAUCUUUGCAGAUGCGAUUGAGUUCGUGUCUGAUUAGGGUGGGCCCUCAUCCAACAGGACUGGUGUCUUUAAAAGAAGACAAGAGAUGGCGACACAGGAGAAUGCCACGUGAGGAGAGAGGCGGAGCCUGGCACCACGAGCCAAGGACCACCAAGGAUUGGUGGGCAGCGCCGGAAGCUGGGAGAAGGCAAGGAAGGAUUCUACCCAGAGUCUCAGAGGGAGCCUGGUCCCGGCUGACCUUCCAGCCUCCAGAAUCGUGAGACAAUGAAUUUCUGUUGCUUUAGGCCCCCCAGUGUGUGGCAUUCGGGACAGCCGCCCCAGGAAACAAAUAUAUUCCCCUAAAAGGCUGUUCAGGUUGCUUCCAAUGUCGAGCUGUUAUAAUAAUGAAGUCUGAGCAGUGUGGCUGGGCCUGGCCGGUCCGGAAACCCCUGGGGACAAUCAUGGACCCAGCCGUGGUGCCUCAGCCUCCGCUCGUACCUUGGCAGGGUUGCCAGACAAAACACCAGACGCCCGUGUCAUAUUUGGGACAUAUCUAGUCUAAAAAAAAAAUCCUUUGUUGCUUAGUUGAAAUUCAAAUUUAACCAGGCCACCGUGUUUUGAUUUGCUAAAUCUGGCAACCCUGACUCUCAGGUUUCCCAACUGUAAUCCCAGACAGUGGGGUUGUGGGCCACCCGCCCUGUACCCGAAGGCGGGCAAACACCCUGGUU